GCGCAGCAGUCGCGAAUUUUUCUCAAUGGGGGCAACCCUGAAGGAGCGACGCCGCGUGGAGGAUGAAGGCUUUCGGGUUGUAAACUCCUGUCAUUUGAGAACAAGUGUAGCCAAGUAACUACUGGCUACUUGAUAGUAUCAGAAGAGGAAGGGACGGCUAACUCUGUGCCAGCAGCCGCAGUAAUACAGAGGUCCCAAGCGUUGUUCGGAUUCAUUGGGCGUAAAGGGUGCGUAGGUGGCGCCGUAAGUGGGGUGUGAAAUUUCGGAGCUUAACUCCGAAACUGCAUUCCAUACUGCGGUGCUUGAGGACUGGAGAGGAGACUGGAAUUCAUGGUGUAGCAGUGAAAUGUGUAGAGAUCAUGAGGAAGACCAGUGGCGAAGGCGGGUCUCUGGACAGUUCCUGACACUGAGGCACGAAGGCCAGGGGAGCGAACGGGAUUAGAUACCCCGGUAGU
rnacentral:rRNA from 1 species